AGAGUUUGAUCCUGGCUCAGGAUGAACGCUAGCGGUAGGCUUAACACAUGCAAGUCGAACGGUAACAGAAGAGCUUGCUCUUGCUGACGAGUGGCGAACGGGUGCGUAACGCGUAUGCAACUUACCUCUAACUAAGGGAUAGCUCGGAGAAAUCUGUAAUUAAUACCUUAUAGUAUCUAAAUGUCGCAUGAUAUUAAGAUUAAAGAAUUUCGGUUAGAGAUGGGCAUGCGUGAUAUUAGUUUGUUGGUAAGGUAACGGCUUACCAAGACUUUGAUAUCUAGGGGGUCUGAGAGGAUGAUCCCCCACACUGGUACUGAGACACGGACCAGACUCCUACGGGAGGCAGCAGUGAGGAAUAUUGGUCAAUGGACGCAAGUCUGAACCAGCCAUACCGCGUGCAGGAUGAAUGCCCUAUGGGUUGUAAACUGCUUUUAUACGGGAAGAAACCUUUCUAUUCAUAGAGAGCUGACGGUACCGUAAGAAUAAGCAUCGGCUAACUCCGUGCCAGCAGCCGCGGUAAUACGGAGGAUGCAAGCGUUAUCCGGAUUUAUUGGGUUUAAAGGGUUCGUAGGCGGAAAAAUAAGUCAGUGGUGAAAGCCUGUAGCUCAACUAUAGAACUGCCAUUGAUACUGUUUUUCUUGAAUAUAUAUGGAGUAGGCGGAAUACGUCAUGUAGCGGUGAAAUGCACAGAUAUGACGUAGAACACCGAUAGCGAAGGCAGCUUACUAAUAUAUUAUUGACGCUGAGGAACGAAAGCGUGGGGAGCGAACAGGAUUAGAUACCCUGGUAGUCCAUGCCGUAAACUAUGAUUACUCGAUAUUAGUCUAACUAGUGUCUAAGCGAAAGUGAUAAGUAAUCCACCUGGGGAGUACGAUCGCAAGAUUGAAACUCAAAGGAAUUGACGGGGGCCCGCACAAGCGGUGGAGCAUGUGGUUUAAUUCGAUGAUACGCGAGGAACCUUACCUAGGCUUAAAUGUAGUUUGACCGUCUGUGAAAACAGAUUUUCCUUGUGACAAACUUCAAGGUGCUGCAUGGCUGUCGUCAACUCGUGCUGUGAGGUGUCGGGUUAAGUCCCAUAACGAGCGCAACCCCUAUCUUUAAUUGCCAGCGAGUAAUGUCGGGGACUUUAAAGAGACUGCCCGUGUAAACGGUGAGGAAGGUGGGGACGACGUCAAGUCAUCACGGCCCUUACGUCUAGGGCUACACACGUGCUACAAUGGUGAGUACAGAGCGCCACUUGGUGACAAGUGGUAAAUCGUUAAAGCUCAUCUCAGUUCGGAUUGAAGUCUGCAACUCGACUUCAUGAAGUUGGAAUCGCUAGUAAUCGCAUAUCAGCCAUGACGCGGUGAAUACGUUCCCGGGCCUUGUACACACCGCCCGUCAAGCCAUGGAAGUUAGGGGUGCCUAAAGUCGGAGACCAUAAAGGAUUCGCCUAGGGUAAAACUGAUAACUGGGGCUAAGUCGUAACAAGGUA
rnacentral:rRNA from 1 species